GUUGGAUAGGAUGAUGCCAAGGAGAUACAAAUUGAAGGUAUACGCAAGAGUUGUGAGACGAGUUAUCAUAGUGUUGGUUGUGAAAGAAAAGAGCUGGAAUAUGUAUUAUAACGAAAAAGACGCAGGGAUGGUGACACAAGUGCUGAAGCUGACGUUGUUGCGAUAUCAAAGAUAAUAUAAGCGAGAAUGUAAAGUUUUAAGCACGCUGGCAGAACAGAGGGAAAAGAUACAGCGAGGUUAGAUGAGAUAGAUGAUGAAAUCAGAGAUAUUGUAGAAACCUAAGGAGGUAUUUUGAAAAGAGAAUUGCAGGCAUAACCCUGUAGGAGAAGAGGAUUUUCAAGCUGAAGUUUAUUCGCGUCAACAUACAAUUUGUGAAGUCUGCAUGGCCCCCAUCUGGAUAAAGGCGAAGGAGAAGAAGGUGGAUAUUCAAUAUGCCUUUUGUGCUCCCUUGGAAAUUUGAAAAAUGCGUGCAUUUCCUUGUUCUCAUAUACUAAUUGUACAGUUCACAAUCCUUGAAGAUUCCCCUUCAAGCAACCUGCUUACUGAGAUAACCUUACUGAGAUAACUAC